rnacentral:rRNA from 1 species
UACGGGGGGGGCAAGCGUUGUUCGGAAUUACUGGGCGUAAAGGGCUCGUAGGCGGCCAACUAAGUCAGACGUGAAAUCCCCAGGCUUAACCUGGGAACUGCGUCUGAUACUGGAUGGCUUGAAUUCGGGAGAGGGAUGCAGAAUUCCAGGUGUAGCGGUGAAAUGCGUAGAUAUCUGGAGGAAUACCGGUGGCGAAGGCGGCAUCCUGGACCGAGAUUGACGCUGAUGAGUGAAAGCUAGGGGAGCAAACGGG